AUCGAUCUUCUUUAUUCUUCAUCAUCAACAUCACAAUCAUUGGUAGCGUCACUAAUUAUCUCCAACACUAGCAUGCAAAUCCAUAGCGCGCUUUAGGAACACAAAGGCUUGAACCGCUAAAGCCAUUAUAUCUUUCUCAUUAGGUGAACUGCAAGACCUGACAAGAUUCAUUUCAUACCCCAAAUACAGCCUUGAAAGAUCCUCAUAGGUAUGUGUGACGGGGAAGCCAUCAUCCUCAACGUCCAAGAUCCUCCCGUCGCUGAGUGGUAAUUUUAAUUCC
rnacentral:lncRNA from 1 species